GCACCUUCGGUCAGCAAUGAUCGUAGCAAACCCGUCUAAACGGUGAAACUCUAUUCAAUAGACAAUACCGUGCUAAACCGCACCUUGCGGAAAUGCCGAACGACUAUCGAAACCACGCAUACGCGUAAGGGAGUAGAGUACAUCGCAAGCAUAUGGCGAUGGAAACGGCGGGCGACCUUAUAGGUCGAUGAUAUAGUCUAUUCUUACGAGUGAUCGUAAG
rnacentral:ncRNA from 1 species